CCUGUGUGCGCAAAGACCAUUUGCUACCCCCCUUGCCUGGGUACCCUAUGCUUUGCAUUUUCUGACCUUGGUCAAUUACACGUUUCGCUCAUGCAGCGAAAAGCGGCUGAUUCACAAAGACGCGACUUCCAGUAACCGGAAAAUAGAGGUAGUGUUUGGCCAACAGGGCGGAGUUAAUCGUGCGAACCCUUGAAUUGCAGUUUAUAUCCUCGAGAAUUCGCUCUUGUGCCUGUGGUGUAAUCCUUUAGAAAGUAACGGCUGGAAAUGAAAUCCUUGAUGAAGUAUUGAUCCUGUAUUAUCAGUAGUUAAAAGAGCUUAAAGCUACGAUCAAAGAUGAACCCUUGCAAAACCUGAGAAUAUUUUGGGGCCAAGUUCGACGAGAUUGAAGUCUUGCAGCGCGUGAAAGGAAGGCCCGUGCUUGAGUGGAAUCUAGAAGCCAACUGUGGGUACUGAAGCUUACUAUUACGUAGUGAUUUUAUGAAUUUGAUUAAUGGCCUUAAGAGCUGGCGCGUAACUAGCGGUGGGCGUGGAUGCGUGAGUCACCACUCGGCCGCCAAAACGCUGUCUUCAGGUCUACGAAUGGAUAUUUUCGGCCCGCGUCGAAGAUCCUCGAUAUUUGUCUACAACGGCAACUGAAAAUGAAAAAAGAGAAAAAAAAACUUAAAAAAAAGACGGGCCCACUGGCCAAGGAUCGAACCUCAUCAGAUAGAUAAAA